UACGUAGGGUGCGAGCGUUGUCCGGAAUUACUGGGCGUAAAGAGCUCGUAGGCGGUCUGUCGCGUCUGCUGUGAAAACUCAGGGCUUAACCCUGAGCUUGCAGUGGGUACGGGCAGACUAGAGUGCGGUAGGGGAGACUGGAAUUCCUGGUGUAGCGGUGGAAUGCGCAGAUAUCAGGAGGAACACCGGUGGCGAAGGCGGGUCUCUGGGCCGUAACUGACGCUGAGGAGCGAAAGCAUGGGGAGCGAACAGG
rnacentral:rRNA from 1 species